rnacentral:rRNA from 1 species
UACGGUUACCUUGUUACGACUUCAUCCCAGUUACCAACUACACCUUAGGACCUUGCCAAUGUUGGCGCAGAUACUUCGGGUGCUGUCGGCUUCCAUGAUGUGACGGGCGGUGUGUACAAGACCCGGGAACGUAUUCACGGCACCGUAGCUGAUGUGCCAUUACUAGCGAUUCCAACUUCAUGGAGGCGAGUUGCAGCCUCCAAUCCGAACUGAGCCCAGUUUUGUAGAUUUCCUCCACCUCGCGGUCUCGGUUCUCAUUGUACUGGACAUUGUAGUACGUGUGCAGCCCUAGGCGUAAGGGCCAUACUGACCUGACGUCAUCCCCACCUUCCUCCCAGUUGAUCUGGGCAGUCUGACUAGAGUCCUCAACUUAAUGUUAGUAACUAGUCACAGGGGUUGCGCUCGUUGCCGGACUUAACCGAACAUCUCACGACACGAGCUGACGACGGCCAUGCAGCACCUGUGUAAAGUCUCCGAAGAGUCACACGCUUUCACGUGCUUAGCGAUACAUGUCAAGCCUAGGUAAGGUUCUUCGCGUUGCAUCGAAUUAAGCCACAUACUCCACCGCUUGUGCGGGUCCCCGUCAAUUUCUUUGAGUUUUAGUCUUGCGACCGUACUCCCCAGGCGGUGCGCUUAACGCGUUAGCUCCGGCACGGAAAGGGUCGGACCUUCCCACACCAAGCGCACAUCGUUUACUGC